UACGUAGGUGGCAAGCGUUGUCCGGAUUUACUGGGCGUAAAGAGCGCGCAGGCGGUCGAUUUAGUCGUGUGUGAAAGCCCCCGGCUCAACUGGGGAGGGUCACGCGAUACUGAUCGACUCGAAGGCAGGAGAGGGUAGUGGAAUUCCCGGUGUAGUGGUGAAAUGCGUAGAUAUCGGGAGGAACACCUGUGGCGAAGGCGGCCGUCUGGGCCGACCCUGACGCUGAGGCGCGAAGGCGUGGGGAGCGAACGGG
rnacentral:rRNA from 1 species